CUUUUAGUACAAGUAUGUCCCAUGCAGUAUUUGGUACAUACUUACACUAAAU
rnacentral:pre_miRNA from 1 species